rnacentral:rRNA from 1 species
UGGGGAAUUUUGGACAAUGGGCGAAAGCCUGAUCCAGCAAUGCCGCGUGUGUGAAGAAGGCCUUCGGGUUGUAAAGCACUUUUGUCCGGAAAGAAAUCCUUGGCCCUAAUACAGUCGGGGGAUGACGGUACCGGAAGAAUAAGCACCGGCUAACUACGUGCCAGCAGCCGCGGUAAUACGUAGGGUGCAAGCGUUAAUCGGAAUUACUGGGUGUAAAGCGUGCGCAGGCGGUUUGCUAAGACCGAUGUGAAAUCCCCGGGCUCAACCUGGGAACUGCAUUGGUGACUGGCAGGCUAGAGUAUGGCAGAGGGGGGUAGAAUUCCACGUGUAGCAGUGAAAUGCGUAGAGAUGUGGAGGAAUACCGAUGGCGAAGGCAGCCCCCUGGGCCAAUACUGACGCUCAUGCACGAAAGCGUGGGGAGCAAACAGGAUUAGAUACCCUGGUAGUCCACGCCCUAAAACGAUGUCAACUAGUUGUUGGGGAUUCAUUUCCUUAGUAACGUAGCUAACGCGUGAAGUUGACCGCCUGGGGAGUACGGUCGCAAGAUUAAAACUCAAAUGAAUUGACGGGGUCAUAGCUGUUUCCU